rnacentral:lncRNA from 1 species
CAUUUACUUGUGCUUUUAUUUACUUAAUCUCUGUCUGUCCCGCGAGAUUAUAAACUGCAGGACGGCAGAGAUCAUUUCUGUUUUGUUUUGACCCUGCUUCCAGGGCUCAGUAUCGUACCUGGGCUGUGGAGGAUACAGAAAUGCCGAAUGAACAAAUGAACGGAUGACUGGGCCACAUGGGUCCCAGGUGAAUGAAUUCUAUCUGCCCCUUAAGGCCAUCCCUUGAUUCAAUCCGACAAACAUUUCUUCAACCUGAACUAACCCAAGAAGAUCCGCAUCAAGGGUCAGAUUACUAAAGCACUGCCCACCUUCUGGGUGGGUGAACGUGAGGGAACAAAUAGUGAUGUUCCAGUGUGAUUUGCCCACGCCCGGGGGGCAAGGGGAGCAGAGGGAACAAAUGAACCGUCCCGCGCCUCACCAAGGGGCCACACGCGAGCUAAGUGGCUGAAGAGGAGUUCGCCUGCCUGGGAAGCCAGGGACAGGACUUCCAGGUGGAGGAAGUGGCAGCUGUGACUGAGAGGUGGAGUGGCACAGAAGCCUGUGUUGUGGCAGGAAGCAGAGGCGAGGUGGACAGGGUGGAAGGGUCACUGUUUGUCAAACACCUUGUUUUUCGUGAUGUUCUUUACAUUGGGCCUAAGUCCACUGUGAAGAAAAGAAGAAUGGUUUUGAUUUUCUCGGUUGCGAUGACCUAGCUGGCUCAAGACUUCCUCACUCGGUGGCUAUAGACUAUCUUCACCUGAAACUCCUACAAAGUGAAACAUCCCAGGUCACUCCAGGAAGUCUUUCUGCGGUUAAACAAGCUGGCCUGAAAGCAUUUAAAGUCCAUGGCUUACCAAGCCAAACAAGAACUCCAUUCAAGCAAAAUCUAAGUGGAGAAGCAUCGUUUCAGUCAGCCACAUUUUAAUCAGCGACACCUCAUGAAAUGUGGACUCAGACAAAAUAUUUUAAAAUUCAUUUUGCCACAUCAAUGCAUUUAUAUCAUAAGCAAUAUCCCUCAGAGGUCAUGUGCUCUGCAGAAGUAGGGGGAUUUUCUCCACAGUUUUUCUUCAUAUUGAGGACUUGGUGGAAAUGUUUUCACUCAGAGUGGCCCCUCAGGCACCCUCACCUAGCUGAGGUGCCUAUGCUCAUCGACCACUACUACCUGUUCUUCAAGCUACCCUGGUCUACGAUCACCACAAAUCCAGGACCUGAGCAGAGCCUAUCAGCAUGUCAUGGAAAUCUUUCUGGAGUUUUCUUAUAAAUCUUUUCUUUUUUCUUUGCCCUGUGCAUUAUUCAUAAACAAGUCAUCCUAGUCUCUAAACAGAACAAGUUGGUCCUGUGAGCUACUGAGGAUAUGCGAAUGUACUGCAAGACACACUUCACAAUGUGUGAAAUUAUGAUUACCUUGCAAAAUCAGGACCAUCAAUAUAUACUGUUUUUUCUCUUUUUUCACCUAAUUCACUGGGUCAGUAGGAAAAAAAUGGAAGGAUAAGAGGCCAAUGAAAUCACACUAAUUUAUUCAACAAAUGUUUUUCCUGACUUCUGUGAUGUAUAGGGCACUGUAGUCAGGUGAAAUAACAGUAAAAUGGGAAUCAGAAGACAGGAUUUACUAUAAAAUUGAUCCCUAAUUAUGUGACCAUGAGCAAAUUCCUGACUUUAUGUCCCUCGGUUCUUUUAUUUGUAGAUUGGGAGUGAUUUAAGCAUCUGCCCACUCACAAACUAUUAUGAGGAUCAAAUGAAUCUUUUUACUUGUGAGAUAAAGGACAAUGCAAGUGACAUGCAGUGGUUUUCCUUCUCCACUGCUACCACUGUACCCCACCCCUGACUACGUCAUCAUCAUCAUCACCAUCACCACCAUCAUCACCACCAUCACCAUCAUCAUCAUCACCAUCAUCAUCACCAUCAUCACCAUCAUCAUCACCAUCAUCGCCAUCAUCAUCACCAUCAUCAUCAUCAUCACCAUUGCCAUCAUCAUCAUCACCAUCAUCACCAUCAUCAGAAUCACCAUCAUCAUCAUCAUCACCAUCAUCACCAUCAUCACCAUCAUCAUCAUCACCAUCACCACCAUCAUCAUCACCAUCAUCACCAUCAUCACCAUCAUCAUCACCAUCAUCAUCAUCACCAUCAUCACCAUCAUCACCAUCAUCAUCAUCAUCAUCAUCAUCAUCAUCAUCAUCAUCAUCAUCAUCAUCAUCAUCAUCAUCAUCAUCAUCAUCAUCAUCAUCAUCAUCAUCAUCACCAUCAUCAUCAUCACCAUCAUCAUCAUCAUCAUCAUCAUCAUCAUCAUCAUCAUCAUCAUCAUCAUCAUCAUCAUCAUCAUCAUCAUCAUCAUCAUCAUCAUCAUCAUCAUCAUCAUCAUCAUCAUCAUCAUCAUCAUCAUCAUCAUCAUCAUCAUCAUCAUCAUCA